rnacentral:rRNA from 1 species
GUAAGGGCGCAUGGUGGAUGCCUCGGCAUGGGCAGGCGAUGAAGGGCGUGGCAAGCUGCGAUAAGCCGCGGGGAGCCGCAAGCAGGCUGUGAUCCGCGGAUUCCCGAAUGGGGCAACCCGGCCGGUCGAAGACCGGUCAUCCACGAGCUGAAUCCAUAGGCUCGUGGAGGCGAACCCGGGGAACUGAAACAUCUCAGUACCCGGAGGAAAAGAAAGCAACCGCGAUUCCCUGAGUAGUGGCGAGCGAAAGGGGAACAGCCCAAACCGGCGUCGUUUCGGCGGCGUCGGGGUUGUAGGGCCCGCCAUAUGGGGUCGGAAGGUGAAGUCGAAGCGUGCUGGAAAGCCGCGCCAAAGAGGGUGAUAGCCCCGUAGGCGUAAGCCGACCGAUCUCGGCGGUGUCCCUGAGUACCACGGGACCGGGGAAAUCCUGUGGGAAGCUGCCAGCACCAUCUGGCAAGGCUAAAUACUCGCCCAUGACCGAUAGCGCACUAGUACCGUGAGGGAAAGGUGAAAAGAACGCCUAGUAGGCGAGUGAAAAGGACCUGAAACCAUGCGCCUACAACCAGUCGGAGCCUCUUGCCGGACUUCGGUCCGGCAAUGGGGUGACGGCGUGCCUUUUGCAGAAUGAGCCUACGAGUUGCUCCUCUCUGGCAAGGCUAAGUGCCUCAGGCACGGAGCCGCAGCGAAAGCGAGUCCGAACAGGGCGACAGAGUCAGAGGGGGCAGACGCGAAACCGGGUGAGCUACCCUUGGCCAGGUUGAAGCGUGGGUAAGACCACGUGGAGGACCGAACCGGUUGGCGUUGAAAAGCCAUCGGAUGAGCUGAGGGUAGGGGUGAAAGGCCAACCAAACCCGGAGAUAGCUCGUACUCCCCGAAAUGCAUAGAGGUGCAGCGUCGCAGCCGAGUGUGCGGGAGGUAGAGCACUGGUUGGGCUAGGGCCCUUCACCGGGUACCAAACCCAGUCAAACUCCGAAUGCCCGCACAUGCUCUGCGGCAGUGAGGGCAUGGGCGAUAAGGUCCAUGUCCGAGAGGGGGACAACCCAGACCGACAGCUAAGGCCCCCAAGUCCAGGCUAAGUUGGGCAAAGGAGGUCGGGCUGCUAAGACAACCAGGAGGUUGGCUUAGAAGCAGCCAUUCCUUUAAAGAGUGCGUAACAGCUCACUGGUCGAGCGGCCCGGCGCCGAAAAUUGUCGGGCAUCAAGCCUGGCGCCGAAGCUUCGGGUUUGCAGCCUUCAGGCUGCAAGCGGUAGGGGAGCAUUCCAGCUGCGCAGAAGUCGCCUCGUGAGGGGCGGUGGAGCGGCUGGAAAAGAAAAUGUAGGCAUGAGUAACGAGAAGACGGGUGAAAAACCCGUCCGCCGUAAGCCCAAGGGUUCCUGCUCAACGCUAAUCGGAGCAGGGUUAGCCGGGUCCUAAGCCGAGGCCGAAAGGCGUAGGCGAUGGGAAACGGGUUAAUAUUCCCGUGCCACCCGAAGGCGCUAACCUGAGGCGUGACGCAGGAGCGUAAGGCCCGCGCCCUGACGGAAUAGGGCGUUGAAGCCCGUAGGCUGGGUGGUAGGCAAAUCCGCCACCCGCUAAGGCCGAAAGGCGACAGUAGGGGGACCCGCAAGGGAAACCCAUAGAGGCCCCAAGCACACUGCCAAGAAAAGCGUCGCAGGUUGUCUUCGGGUGCCCGUACCGGAAACCGACACAGGUGGGCGAGGCGAGUAUCCUCAGGCGCUCGAGUGAUCCGUGGCUAAGGAACUCGGCAAAUUGGCCCCGUAACUUCGGGAGAAGGGGCGCCUCCUCCCAUCCAAAAGCGGGAGGGGGCCGCAGUGACCAGGCCCAGGCGACUGUUUAACAAAAACACAGCUCUCUGCGAACUCGUAAGAGGACGUAUAGGGAGUGACACCUGCCCGGUGCCGGAAGGUUAAGGAAGGGGGUUAUCUCGGCCUCGCGCCGGGAGAAGCUCCCGACCGAAGCCCCGGUAAACGGCGGCCGUAACUAUAACGGUAGGACUGGAUCGAAGCCGAUCCAGAAGGGCCGUUGUAAAAUUCGGCUAUAUGCUGGGACAGCUCGGGUAUCCCAGGGUACCGAGAAGGUAAAAAUCCUAUGGGUGGAGCCAACCAGCAGGAAAGACUUUCGGGGACCGAAGCCGAACGGUGGUUCCUUGCAGGGCUCAUCGAAGGGGAAGGCUCCCUCUGCGCAUCGAUCAAAUACCAUCCCACGGCCCGCUAUGGCGUGGUGGUAGAUCCGGAAUUCUUCAUCUACCAGCACGUGACGGGACGUAGCCUGCUGGAACGUGCCCGGCGCAUCUUCGGGACAGGUCGGAUCUAUCCCAAGCCGGGCAAUCCCAAGGUGCUGGUCUUCUGCAUCGAUGCGCGACGUAGCCUGCGUGAACGCGUGCUACCCUUCCUCUUCCGCUAUGUCUAUCCGUUCUCGGCAAAAAAGCAGCAGAUUACCUGCUUUGCCGAGAUCGUAGAGGCCCUGGAACGCAAGGAACACCACACCCCUGAAGGCCUGGCGCGUAUCGUCGAGCAGGCAUACGCGCUGAGUGCAGGCAGUAAGGGGAAGGAGCGAAAACGACCGCUCCAGGAGGUCCUCGAAAGAAUCCUCAGAGGCCAUACGCCGAACAUCGCUCCGCCUUCCUCACCGGAGCGAUGAAGAUAUGGUCCAGCCCUCGUGGCGACACGGGGAGAGGCUGCCUAAGGUAGCAUCCGCUGCCUGCCCACAGGGUGACCUGUGGGGCAAGCCCGGCUGUAUGCGGGAACGCCCUGAGAGCCACUUCUACGUCUCCCGCCAAAGGGCGGGCGUAAAAAUGAAGUGGAUUGGGUAACCCGCAGGAAACCCCGCCGCAAGCGGGGGAUCCUCAGAGGCCAUACGCCGGGUAUCCAGUACC